rnacentral:rRNA from 1 species
UACGAAGGGUGCAAGCGUUAAUCGGAAUUAUUGGGCGUAAAGCGCGCGCAGGUGGUCUUUCAAGUCAGUGGUGAAAGCCCGGAGCUCAACUCCGGAAAUGCCAUUGAAACUGUAAGACUUGAGGAUGAGAGAGGUGAGUGGAAUUCCCAGUGUAGAGGUGAAAUUCGUAGAUAUUGGGAAGAACACCGGUGGCGAAGGCGGCUCACUGGCUCAUAUCUGACGCUCAGGCGCGACAGCGUGGGGAUCAAACAGG